CUUAUCUCUCUAAACCUUUUAGAGAGAGAGAUUUUGAUCGGUGGUUUUGGCCGUCCGGCUUGCCUUGCCGGCUUAUGGAUCCGGACGUGGUCCGGUUUUGUCGUCCCAUCUCGCCAUCCCAUCUCGCCAUCCCAUCUCGCCGUCCGGUGUAUCCGGCUUUGCUCACGGCUAUUCCGUUGCCGGCGUUUUUGACGUUUUCAAUCGCCUCAUUUGAGGUCCGUCUUGCCAUUAUAGGAAGUCAAGAUAUCAAUUUCCGAAGUCUAUUUUUUAUAUCAAGUGAUGACAAGAGUUCAGAAGCUUCACCUCGUGGUUGAUUGUUUUCCGGCGACUUCUUUCAUGCUUCUUCUUCCUGUCCUUCUAUUCCCUCUUCUUCUUAUCACUCCAGAUUGAUCAUUCGCCGGAUCCGAAACUCGCUUGAAUACGGUGACAUUGAGACCGCCAUCGACAUCCUUUGCUCCUACGCUCCUUUCGUCCUCGAUGAUCAUCGUAUUCUAUUUUGCCUCCGAUUCAGUUUAUGGCUUAUUUUGGAGAUUGAAGUUGUAGAGGAUGAGGAUGAUGAGUAUUGAGUUUAAUACAGAAUCCACAGAGUGUUGGGCUUAUCAAACAUCAAAGAGAUGAGAAUCAGAAGAACUUGUCGUGUCAAGAGAUGGAGCACGUCUAGGAGGAUAAGAGAAUGGAUGAUAAACUGUACACUAAUCUAUUUGGGUUCACUAGUCCUUGACUAGGGUUUAGUGUUAUCAUCUCAUAAGCUAGUUUAGACAUUGUGUUUGAGUUCCUCAUUUACAAUAUGCUAGGGUAUAGUUUUCCUUUUUAAGUACUCUUUAUGAAUGAACCACUUUACAUUAAUCGGUUUGGGUUCACUCGUCCUUAACUAGGGUUUAGCAUUUUCUCGCUUACACAAUUAGCAUCUCAUAAAGUAGAAAAAAAUGGUGCAAAUUUGUGAAUGAUGUAUGUGUAUAAGAAUAAUAAACGAGUGUUUGUACAUAAAUUAGGUCAUGUGUUCAGAACUAAUGUAAAGAAAAUGAUGUACUAAAUACGAAGAUAUAAUGGCAGGAAAAAAAAAGAAGAUCUGAGUCA